rnacentral:lncRNA from 1 species
GUCACAGAAACAUAUGCGGCCUUUCCUCUGGAAAGGUGAGACAGUGCUCAUGAAAAUGACUUGGCUAUCACCAACAAGGGAGGUGAUUUGUUCUACAGCCAGCUCUCCCCUCUACCGGUCCUCAGCCAGUGAAAGAAGAAUGACUUGGAAGAUGACAUCAAAUCAGGUUCAAGCCAAUUUGGCCAACAGACCAGAUUGGAAUAUCGAUUUAGCACUCAGAUAGGAAAGCCAACCUUUUGCCAGGAUGGCCAAAAUACCAUCUGUAGCGAAUGAAAUCUGACUGCUUUGCACAAACCCUUCUGGAUCCCAGUUUUUGGACAAGGUCUGUGAGGGUGAAAAUGCAUCCAGAAGCCAGACUCUCCUUAAAUCACCCUCAUUCUUGAGACAAUGAGGAAAAGGGAAGAAAAAGUCCACCUACAAAUGACAAAUGAUCAACACAGCUUGCUUGCUAAGUGAAGCUGACUAAUCUAUUACCUCUGAAAUGAUUUCAAGGUGUUACAGAAUGAGCUUGCCUAUAUUUCACAUUUGCGGGGACAUAAGGCAAUAAAUUCUAAGCAUGCUUCGUUGCCCUGUAAUAAGUUAC